UCAUCCCAAACACCUGUUAACACUUUAGAGUGCUGACGCCGCCAUCCCAAAAGGAAGGAGACGCAAAGAUCAACUUUUCUUACAAUCCCAGAGAGAAAUCAACUUUUUCCAACAAACACCACCUUUUAAUAUGUAAAACUGGUGGAGCUGCCCUUUAAAUAACACGCGUCCUUCUACAGGACAAAGUCUUCCAGGUCCUGAUUUAUUUCUCCAGGCUGAAAUCCUCUUUCAGUAAAGUUUUUACCCCCGCUGUCAGACAUGAUGAAAGGUUGCAGAUGAUUUUCCCUCCCUGACCAGCUCUUUCUUUCUUUCUUUCUUUCUUUCUUUCUUUCUUUCUUUCUUUCUUUCUUUCUUUCUUUCUUUCUUUCGGACGCUUCCUCCCUCCCUCAGCUGUGUCACCCCAGAGCCUCUCGUCUCUCUCCCGCAACAACAACAGCAGCAGCAGCAGCUCUCCCCCCUCACCUCCGCUCCCGCAACGCCAAAAAAAAUAAAAAUCACGCACGCACGGAGAACUUGAUUCCAUUCCAACUCUUUGAGACUGAGGUAUAUCACGCUGUUGAGACGCGAUCGGAGGAAAAUCCCUCCCCACGCAGAUGAAGCCGCGUGUGUGCGUGCGGUGCGUGAUGCGAGCGCGCGCGGAGCCACCUUAAAGACACGCGGCCCCCGCUGAUGUCAGAGACUCCGCCGCCGCCGCCGCCGGUGCCGCGCUGCGCCGCUCCGCCGUUUCAAAUCUUCAUCCGCGCCGCUGCUGCUGCUCUCCUCACUUUUCUCCAGCUCAUGUCUCGGCUGCAUUCACGGGAGUAGCUCAAUCCAACCUGCACAUCCAAGAAAACAAAACAAACAAAAAAACCCCUCCACCAGUCCUACCCGAGCCUUUAGAGGAGGGAGAGAGAAAAAGGUUUCCCCUCCUGUGUGUGAGGAGAUCUCUGCUGCUGCUGCUGCUGCUGCCUCUACUCCACACCCAGGCCUCCCCUCCUCCUCCUCCUCCUCCUCUUCCUCCACCCCCCCACCCUCCGCCAGCGCAGGGCAGCCACAGAAGCGUUGGCUCGAUUCCAGAGAGGCUCCGAUCCUGCAGCCACGUCAAUCACGUCUUCACCGCUGGAGUCGGAAACCGAUGACUGACAGUAGACAAGCGUGGAUACAGCAGGAAACACUGUGCAGCAGCAGGACCAGCAGCAGAGUCGCAGCGACAAGCACAACAAAGAGAAACAGAUGUGUAAUUUCACUUACCAAGUGAGG